rnacentral:rRNA from 1 species
GACGAACGCUGGCGGCGUGCUUAACACAUGCAAGUCGAACGGAAAGGCCCCUUUGGUGUUACUCGAGUGGCGAACGGGCGGGUAACACGCGAGUAACCUGCCUUCGACUUCGGGUUAACUUCAUUAAACUGGGUCUAAUACCGGAUAGGAAUGCUUGCUGCAUGCAUGGUGUUGGAAAGCUUGUGCGGGUUUGGAUGGACUCGCGGCUUAUAAGCUUGUUUGUGGGGGAGGGGCUUGCACAGGCGUGGUCUGGUAGCUGGCCGGAGAGGGCGAGUGGCCACAUUGGGAGUGAGAUACGCCCCAGACACCCACGGGGGGGGGAAGUGGGGAGUAUAGCACAAUGGGCGGAAGCCUGAUGCAGAAAAGCCGCGUGCGGGAUGACGGGCUUCGGGUUGUGUACCGCUUUCUGCAGGGGCGAGGCUUGUGGUGACGGUAACUGCAGAAGAAGCACCGGCUAACUACGUG